rnacentral:lncRNA from 1 species
GCUCUGAUACCAUUGUUGGAUUUGGCCAUAUAGUCAAAAAUACCUUUUAAAAUUUUAAAACCAAACAAGUCAAUAACUUUAAUAGUUAAAACUAUCGAGCCGAAAUCCAAACCCUAGAAUCAUCUUAUCGAUGUCGAUCAAAACAAAACAAGCAUGCAAAAGGGAUAAAAUUUUACUUUCACCAAAAAUACAAUGUGUCACAUUGGUGAUCUCCACAAGACUCCAAAGUAGAAGCCCUCUAAUAGUGAUCCACAUAGAAGUUGGCCAAGGUCCUUCUCAACCAGUGCACCGCUGCAGCCUUAUCUUCUUAAGAACACUGUCGGCUUCGAACUCCAGAAACGAUCACAUCAAAGCCUAGUUGCUUUUGAUCUUGCCACUAGAAUCAUGCCAAGAAGAUGCUCUUCAGAUGUCUCACAACAUAGG